CACUGGUUGCAUCUUCUUGUCCUUCGAAGAGCAAAGAAGCGGCCUGCCAGGCCGGAGACCUGGGUUUGAUCCCUGGGUUGGGAAGAUCCCCUGGAAAAGGGAACUGCUACCUGCUCCAGUAUUCUGAUCUGGAGAUUUCCAUGGACUGUAUAGUCCAUGGGAUUGCAAAGUGUCGGAUGCAACUGAGUGCCUUUCACUUUCACUUUCCCUGAUCAACCAAUAUAAAGUUGUCUCUCAGUCACACUCUAUUUUAGAUUGCUAUCUGAAUGCUCACCAGUCUCUGAUUUCUCUCUUGUUUAAUUAUUUGUUUGCUUACUUUCUUCUGUCCCCCCCCUCCAGACCCCACCAGGAUGCAAGCUUUUUAGAGUGGUCAUGUCUAUCAUUUUGGUUGAGUGCUGUAUUCCUGACACCUGGAGUAGAACCUGGCAUAUGCCACUCGAGACGCUGCAGCCCAGCUUGUUUAUCUUGUGAGCUGCAGAGGCACUCACUCACAGCCCUCGCUGCGGCUCCGUCCCCGGGUGAUUGCAUCUCUCCUAGGUGGGUGUUAAAGGACGGGACCGGACGACUGGAACCAUGGGAGGAAGAGCAGGCAGGCUGCAGGAGAGGAAGGAGGAAGGAACCACAGGAGAGGGUGUGGCCUGAGGCCGAUGGAAACCACAGCUAUCUGUUGGGCAGGAAAGAGAAACCAGAUACAGCUUCCUGGGCAAUGGAACUUCAGAGACAAGCACAGAGUUUGCUGGCAACCCCAGGAGGCUGAAGCCACCAUUCCCGCAGCCUUUGGGGAACCAAGCAAAUCAGUCCUUAGGACAGACGACCCAGGCAAACCAGCCAGCAGCGCGACCAGCAGCACAAAACAAGCUUUCAGACCCACACGCGAAGACAAGAUUGUAAUGCCUCCGUGACAGCAUUGCUUUAUUGAUGCAAG